UAGGAGGCAAGGCGCUGACACAAGGCGUGAAUAAUUAGGAUUUUAUUUAUAUUAAUGUUUCACCAUGUUAUAUGUGAAAUUGCAUUUUUUUGGUUUUUCACUAAUAUCAUUUGCUUUUUGUCUAUCACAAGAUUAAUUUUCCUACUUAUAGAUUUUUCUUGUUUAGGUAGUUGGGUUUCUAAAUGGAUAAUCAUUCUCUGGUACUUUAGUAGAAAAUUUUCAACUGA
rnacentral:misc_RNA from 1 species